CGCGUAUUCAAUCUUCUUGUAAUAAAGCGGUAUUGCCGCUGACAUGCGAAUAAAUCGACAUAAAUUCUCAGAGACCUCAUCAUCCAUUUCCUGUUAUUUGCCAGGUUUCAGACUUCCAUGGACAGGCGAUGCUGAUCGUGCGUCGUUUACGCCCAGGGUGCCGAUGCUUUAAUGCCCAAACGUUGCGUUAACACGAUUUGCGAAAGAAACGACCAGUGUGAUGGAACAUGCGGCCCAGACUGCAAUAAUGGACAAUGCGAAUGUUUGCACGAUGACCUUCAAAGUGAGCAAAAGAAUGGAACGUGCCAAAGAAUAAUCAGUCAAUCCGUACCGCC